GUUAUUAUUUUUAUGACACGUGUGAUUGUGUUCAAACAAAACAACUUUUUGUUAAUCAUUUGUGUCGCGUUCGAAAAUUGUAUUUUUUUGUAAGCUAGACGGGGGACAUUUAAACCGUUCUACUGAAUUGCCGAGAAAAUCAAAAACCGACCUCCCUAACCGACUGCAGAAACCGAAAUCCGCUAUCGGGUGGCACCGCUAAAGUACGACCGUUGGAACAAGAUUUUCGGUGUAAAAACCGCCCGCACACGGGGGACGGAGGAGAAGCACACGUCGUAACAGGUAGUAAAACCAAUACUUACGCGUCUCGCUCCGGUCAGAACGUAAAAAUAUACACUCUGCCGCGUUGAAAUCCGGUCCCCGUGCAUUUUAAUAACAUACCGUGCAGAGGUGAUAAUAUUAUUAUUAGGUAGGUACCUAUACCAUCAUUGUACGGAUAUUGAAAGUACAUGGUGUAGCGUGUCAAUCAGUAAGUACCUAGUAAUACAUACCUACGAAUAAGUGUAAUAACGGGCGCGGGUACCAAUUAUUGUGCAGCUAUACCGCGGCAGUGAAUUAUUUAAAAAAGAUUUAAUUUUCGCGAAAAUCUCUAGCGUAGCUGUGCGAAUGGUUGCACGCCGCGCGCGGUGUCCAUCUGUACGUG